rnacentral:rRNA from 1 species
UGGGGAAUUUUCCGCAAUGGGCGCAAGCCUGACGGAGCAACGCCGCGUGAGGGAGGAAGGCCUGUGGGUUGUAAACUUCUUUUCUCUAGGAAGAAGGUCUGACGGUACUAGAGGAAUCAGCAUCGGCUAACUCCGUGCCAGCAGCCGCGGUAAGACGGAGGAUGCAAGCGUUAUCCGGAAUUAUUGGGCGUAAAGCGUCCGUAGGCGGUUAUACAAGUCUGCUGUUAAAGACCACAGCUCAACUUCAUAAGGGCAGUGGAAACUGCGUAACUAGAGUACGUUCGGGGUAGAGGGAAUUCCUGGUGUAGCGGUGAAAUGCGUAGAUAUCAGGAAGAACACCGGUGGCGAAAGCGCUCUACUAGGCCGUAACUGACACUGAGAGACGAAAGCUAAGGGAGCGAAUGGGAUUAGAUACCCCGGUAGUCC